UGAGGAAUAUUGGUCAAUGGACGCAAGUCUGAACCAGCCAUGCCGCGUGAAGGAUGAAGGUCCUCUGGAUUGUAAACUUCUUUUAUCUGGGACGAAAACGGGAUUUUUAUCUCAAUUGACGGUACCAGAGGAAUAAGCACCGGCUAACUCCGUACCAGCAGCCGCGGUAAUACGGAGGGUGCGAGCGUUAUCCGGAUUUACUGGGUUUAAAGGGUGCGUAGGUGGGCUUAUAAGUCAGUGGUGAAAUCUCCGAGCUUAACUUGGAAACUGCCGUUGAUACUAUAGGUCUUGAAUUAUCUGGAGGUAAGCGGAAUAUGUCAUGUAGCGGUGAAAUGCUUAGAUAUGACAUAGAACACCAAUUGCGAAGGCAGCUUACUACAUAUAAAUUGACGCUGAGGCACGAAAGCGUGGGGAUCAAAC
rnacentral:rRNA from 1 species